rnacentral:rRNA from 1 species
UCCCCUAGUAACUGCGAGUGAAGCGGGAAAAGCUCAAAUUUGAAAUCUGGCAGUCUUUUUUUUCUUCUUUGGCUGUCCGAGUUGUAAUCUAGAGAAGUGCUUACCUGUGCUGGACCAUGUAUAAGUCUCCUGGAAUGGAGCGUCACAGAGGGUGAGAAUCCCGUCUUUGACAUGGACUGCCAGUGCGUUGUGGUGUGCUCUCAAAGAGUCGAGUUGUUUGGGAAUGCAGCUCUAAAUGGGUGGUAAACUCCAUCUAAAGCUAAAUAUUGGCGAGAGACCGAUAGCGAACAAGUACCGUGAGGGAAAGAUGAAAAGGACUUUGGAAAGAGAGUUAAACAGUAUGUGAAAUUGUUGAAAGGGAAACGCUUGAAGUCAGUUAUGUUGGUUAGGGAUCAACCUAGCUAUUUGCUGGGUGAAUUUCCUAGUCUGACAGGCCAACAUCAGUCUUGACUGUUGGAAAAGAGCAGAGGGAAUGUGGCACCUUUGGGUGUGUUAUAGCCCUUUGUCAUAUGUGGCAGUUGGGACUGAGGAAUGCAGCGUGCCGCGAGGCUGGGUUUCGACCACGUUCACGCUUAGGAUGUUGGCUUUUAAUGGCUUUAAUCGACCCGUCUUGAAACACGGACCAAGGAGUCUAACAUGCCUGCGAGUGUUUGGGUGGAAAACCCUUGUGCACAAUGAAAGUGAAAGUUGAGAUCCCUGUCAUGGGGAGCAUCGACGCCCGGACUUGAGCUUUU